CAGUCGCCGCGGGAACACGGAGGGUGCAAACGUUGCUCGGAAUUAUUGGGCGUAAAACGCACGUAGGCGGCCAAGUAAGUCGGGUGUGAAAGCCCAGGGCUUAGCCCUGGAAGUGCACUCGAAACUGCUUGGCUUGAAUGUGGAAGAGGGUCGCGGAAUUCCCGGUGUAGAGGUGAAAUUCGUAGAUAUCGGGAGGAACACCAGUGGCGAAGGCGGCGACCUGGGCCAACAUUGACGCUGAGGUGUGAAAGCGUGGGGAGCAAACAGGAUUAGAGACCCCUGUAGUCCCUGUCUCUUAUAA
rnacentral:rRNA from 1 species